rnacentral:rRNA from 1 species
UACGGGGGGAGCAAGCGUUGUUCGGAUUUACUGGGCGUAAAGGGCGCGUCGGCGGUCGUGACAAGUCACUUGUGAAAUCUCCGGGCUUAACUCGGAACGGUCAAGUGAUACUGUCGGACUAGAGUACAGAAGGGGCAACUGGAAUUCUCGGUGUAGCGGUGAAAUGCGUAGAUAUCGAGAGGAACACCUGCGGCGAAGGCGGGUUGCUGGGCUGAUACUGACGCUGAGGCGCGAAAGCCAGGGGAGCGAACGGG